GGCAGGAGACCUGGCCAGCAGCGGCCGGAGCCUCAUGUAACGCUGCCUGUGGCACCAACGCUGUGGGCACGGGGCAAACGGGUGGAGUUUGAGCCCUUGGCACCAAACAGGCACAAAUAGCAGCUGCAGCAGCAUGUACAUUCACGGAGUACAGUGCAGAGGUUUCUGAUGAGUCAAAUGGAAAGUGGAUUUUGUCUUGAUGUAACUCAGAAAGCAGAUGCAAGAAUGAUACUGACUUGGUAGAAUGAGAAGAUGAGAUUCAAGCUCCUGCCAGUUAUCUCUGCUCAACCCUCAGACAGCCCCAGGGAGUGGAAGCACCAGACGGCACUGAGGAUGGACCUACAGGCAUAAAACUACUGUGUUACAGCCACUACCAAUGCCACUGAAUUUCCCAGGGUCUAAUGUUGACCUCAGGCUCGCCAGCAAAGGAGGAAGAACAUAAGAGACCUCAAUAUUUAGAGGGUUUUACAUUUCCUAUACAAAAAAAGAGCAAACGAAGAGUGAAGAGCUAGCUGCUACAGUAAAAGAGG
rnacentral:lncRNA from 1 species